CCAGCGCUUCCACAGCGCGGCAGCCCAAACCUUACACACUGUGAUUAGUUUUUUUACUAUUUGCUUUGGCUG
rnacentral:rRNA from 1 species